GUCCACUUGUCUCCUUACCUUCUUACUAGCAGGCAGAAGUUCCUGGUAUAGUCUGAGACAGAGAAAAGGUGUCUGUAGUGAGUGUAGAAGAAAGGGGACAUGCCACAGUGUUAGAGAGAACAACGUCUGCAUUACCUAAACUAACUUUAAUGUCAGCCAGUGCACACAAGUUUUGUUCCCAUACAUCCCUCUUAAGUUUCCAAACUUAAAGGGACACUAUAGUCACCAGAACAACUACAGCUUAUUGUAUU